rnacentral:rRNA from 1 species
UGGGGAAUAUUGCACAAUGGGCGAAAGCCUGAUGCAGCAACGCCGCGUGAGUGAUGAAGGUCUUCGGAUUGUAAAGCUCUGUCUUUUGGGACGAUAAUGACGGUACCAAAGGAGGAAGCCACGGCUAACUACGUGCCAGCAGCCGCGGUAAUACGUAGGUGGCGAGCGUUGUCCGGAUUUACUGGGCGUAAAGGGUGCGUAGGCGGAUGUUUAAGUGAGAUGUGAAAUACCCGGGCUUAACUUGGGUGCUGCAUUUCAAACUGGAUAUCUAGAGUGCAGGAGAGGAGAAUGGAAUUCCUAGUGUAGCGGUGAAAUGCGUAGAGAUUAGGAAGAACACCA